UACGGGGGGUGCAAGCGUUGUUCGGAAUCAUUGGGCGUAAAGAGCGUGUAGGCGGCGGGAUAAGUCAGAUGUGAAAGCCCUGGGCUCAACCUGGGAAGUGCAUUUGAAACUGUCCUGCUAGAGUAAGGGAGAGGGAAGUGGAAUUCCUGGUGUAGAGGUGAAAUUCGUAGAUAUCAGGAGGAACACCGGUGGCGAAGGCGACUUCCUGGCCCUAUACUGACGCUGAGACGCGAGAGCGUGGGGAGCAAACAGG
rnacentral:rRNA from 1 species